GAUGAACGCUGGCGGCGUGCCUAAUACAUGCAAGUCGAGCGAACAGACGAGGAGCUUGCUCCUCUGACGUUAGCGGCGGACGGGUGAGUAACACGUGGAUAACCUACCUAUAAGACUGGGAUAACUUCGGGAAACCGGAGCUAAUACCGGAUAAUAUAUUGAACCGCAUGGUUCAAUAUUGAAAGACGGUUUUGCUGUCACUUAUAGAUGGAUCCGCGCCGCAUUAGCUAGUUGGUAAGGUAACGGCUUACCAAGGCAACGAUGCGUAGCCGACCUGAGAGGGUGAUCGGCCACACUGGAACUGAGACACGGUCAAGACCCCUAGGGGAGGCAGCAGUAGGGAAUCUUCCGCAAUGGGCGAAAGCUUGACGGAGCAACGCCGCGUGAGUGAUGAAGGUCUGCGGAUCGUAAAACUCUGUUAUGAGGGAAGAACAAAUGUGUAAGUAACGAUGCACGUCUUGACGGUACCUAAUCAGAAAGCCACGGCAAACUACGU
rnacentral:rRNA from 1 species